GGCUAUGACCUGUUUAACAGACACGCCCCAUGCUUUCAAACCCGUGGAUAACAUAAAGCAAAAAACAAACCGAACGCAGUAAUAGACACUGUACGCUAUACGAACAUACUUACAUAAAUCGCGGAUUUUUAUGCAUUUAUGGAAAAUUUAGAGAUGUAAACAUCUAUUGGUCAAACGUACCUAUAAUAUUUCCUUACUUAUAUUUAUAAAAGUAUGAGAUCGCAUUAGUAUUCGCAAUCUAAACAUAAUACGGAGUUCUAUACUUCGACUGUAACGAAUACGGAAGAUUUCGAGGAACAGAGAAGAAAGAAUUAGAAGGUUAAGUCAGAGGCAUCGCCAAGAAUAGGACGACGAAAUUGUCAACAAUUGCAUUUGUACAGCAACAAACUACAAAUGUAACGUAUAAACGAUGAGAUAUGUAGUUGUAAUUCUGUCGAAGUGCUGUCUGAAGGUCGGACAAAGGAAAAGACGCCGCAAGGCUAAUGGCGAACGCAGGAAAUUUAAAAAACAAAAAUAGUUACAGGAAGGAACCAUCGCAGCAAGACAGACGCAAAACAUACAGUACUGCUGCAACAAAAACACUGAUGAAAUAGCACGCCCUUAAGUGAACUCAAUCGACGGAUGCGCAUGUCCGCAGGCGAGCCUUCGUGUUGACGCAAACCGAAGAAAAGCAUUACCUCCAUAUUUUCAAGCAAAGAAUCUCAAACCUUGAUAACUCGUAUAUAGAUAAACAUCGAGAUUCUAUGAAAACAUUCUCGAGUUUACCAACUUCUCCUUACUACGUGUUACAAAACAGUCACAAAACAAUUAAGUCUGAUAGUGCAAUUUUAUUGCUUGAUAAAAAUUUUAAUUUUGUAUACUCAUAGAUAGAUUUCAUACAUAUCGAAUAAAUUGUAUACCAAUGUUA